rnacentral:rRNA from 1 species
AUUAGCUAGUUGGUGAGGUAACGGCUCACCAAGGCGACGAUCAGUAGCCGACCUGAGAGGGUGAACGGCCACACUGGAACUGAGACACGGUCCAGACUCCUACGGGAGGCAGCAGUGGGGAAUAUUGCACAAUGGGCGCAAGCCUGAUGCAGCAACGCCGCGUGAGUGAUGAAGGCCUUCGGGUCGUAAAACUCUGUCCUAAGGGAAGAAGAAGUGACGGUACCUUAGGAGGAAGCCCCGGCUAACUACGUGCCAGCAGCCGCGGUAAUACGUAGGGGGCAAGCGUUAUCCGGAAUCACUGGGCGUAAAGGGUGCGUAGGCGGCUGAUCAAGCCAGGGGUGAAAGGCAAUAGCUUAACUAUUGUAAGCCUUUGGAACUGGUCAGCUUGAGUGCAGGAGAGGAAAGCGGAAUUUCUAGUGUAGCGGUGAAAUGCGUAGAUAUUAGGAGGAACACCCGUGGCGAAGGCGGCUUUCUGGACUGUAACUGACGCUGAGGCACGAAAGCGUGGGGAGCAAACAGGAUUAGAUACCCUGGUAGUCCACGCUGUAAAC